UACGAAGGGGGCUAGCGUUGUUCGGAAUUACUGGGCGUAAAGCGCACGUAGGCGGAUAUUUAAGUCAGGGGUGAAAUCCCAGAGCUCAACUCUGGAACUGCCUUUGAUACUGGGUAUCUUGAGUAUGGAAGAGGUGAGUGGAAUUCCGAGUGUAGAGGUGAAAUUCGUAGAUAUUCGGAGGAACACCAGUGGCGAAGGCGGCUCACUGGUCCAUUACUGACGCUGAGGUGCGAAAGCGUGGGGAGCAAACAGGGAUUAGAAACCCCGUGAAGACCCAGGAACCGUACCGUCAGACCC
rnacentral:rRNA from 1 species